UGUGGAACAACCUCGUUCUUGCAUUCCUAUACUAUAAUUGGUCCGUGCUCUAGCGAGAAACAGAUAGAGUAAAAUCAAUCUAACAAGAAACUGGUGCAUUUAAUCUAUUUUGUGUUCGUCAUUUAGUUCAUUGAGCUCUAGAUAUCAUUGGAGGCAUUUGAUACAAAAUGAUGCAGAAAAUGUGCAAAACUGAUCACUAGGCUAGCAGCCUUGUUUUGUACAUACCAUCUUCAUGAGAUGUUAGAUCGAGGCUCACAACAUAUGGUUGGAAAGCUGAAAUUUUGGGCUUCAAGUGAUAGUGCUCAAAAGUCGCAUUUGGAGAUUUAAUGCCCAAGUUGAAAGCCCACGAAAUUUCUUGGUCAUGUUGGGAUAAGCAUGAGCUCUUGUUGCUGGGAACAAAGUUAGGUCUGCUAAUUUAUUGUUUACAGCUCAAGUGGAGCAUUAAUGAGCAUUCAUAAUGAAGAAGAUAGCAAGAGAUCACAUAUAAUACAAUCCAUGCAUGUUAAGGGCUGAUUGGGAUGAGAGGAAUAUGAGCUUAAAGACAAACCCAAUUUGGGCUACACUCCCUUGUCAGCCCAGUUUCGCAGGUCACAUUGCAUGCCUUAUUUCAGCAACCUAGACAGCUCGGAUGAGAAGACAUUCUUGAUAGAAGUUGUUCCAAUGAGUGUCUAUUAUAGCAUAUUCAAAUUUCAUCCCCAUCAGAUACAUCUAGAGUCGUCAUCACGUCAAACACUCAACCAAGUUCACAGAAAGUCCUAGUUGGCUGCUAUCACAUUUAAUGUUCCCACAUCCCUGUAGCCAUGUGCUACACAUAAAAGCAGCCACAUAUGGGAGACAAAUUAGCUUGGGAACUUCGAAAGGGGAACAAAAGUCAAGCUUACCAUGAGAAUACCAGGAAGAAUAGUCCAUCAAAAGCAUUUAUUGGGCAGCUGGAGUAGUUGGCACUUAAUAAGGCAGUUGGGCAGCUGUUGAGAGAGAUGUUCUACAACAACCAAAGGGAGAACGAAUUUGGCACUUUAUAAAUAGAGAGCUAUACACAUUCAUUCAUUUAUCUCCUAUAGAGUGAAAUUCGUUUUCCUCUUGGUUGGUGUAAAACAGCCAUCUCAGCAACUGCCCAACUGCCUCAUUAAUUGCCAACGGCUCCAACUGCCCCAUAAAUGCUUUGGUAGACUCGUCUUCUUGUUCUCCAAAUGCACAUGGCUACAGGGAUGUGGCCACAUUAAAUGUGAUAGCAGCCAACCAAGACUUUCUGUGAACUUGGUUGAAUAUUUGACGUGCUAAGGACUCCAGAUAUCUCCAAUAGGGUGGAAAUUUGGAUAUGCUAUAAUAGAUACCCAUUGGAACAACUUCUAUUAAGAAUAUCUUCUCAUCCGAGCUGUCUAGGUUGCUGAAAGAAGGUUGUAAUGUGACCUACGAAAAUGGGCUAACAAGAGAGUGUAGCCCAAAUUGGGUUUGUCUUUAAGCUCAUAUGGAUUGCAUUGAAUGUGAUCUCUUACUGUCCUCUUCAUUAUGUCUACUCAUUAAUGCUCCACUUGAGUUGUAAAUAAUAAAUUAGUAGACC